ACCAUUCAUCAAAUAGGGUGGGUGGGUGUUGUUUUUGUUUUGGUUUUUUUUUCUAUCCAUCUAUCAAUUCUCUUGGAAAAAAAAAAGUGAAAAUUGUCAUCAUCAUCAUCAUCGAUCAUCGAUUGAUUGAUCCACCAUCGAAUGAUCAACAUAUAUUUCGAAUACAUCAACCACACACACAAGUCUCCCGGUUUUUGUUGUUGUUGUUAUUUGGUUUUUUUCCUUGCUCUUGUAAUGUGUGUGGUUAGUUCUAUUUGGUUUGUUGUAUUUGAAUGUGAUGUUUUUGUUAUUUGAAUGGUAUGUUGUUGUUGUUGUUAAAGUUUAUUGGGCGACUUGAUCAGGAUGGAUGACUAAAAAAAGUGACUUGGAGUAUUGUUGUGUUUUGUGUAUAUCGACUCUUUUUUUUUCUCUAGCCAACGCCUUUACCUCGGCUUGGCUCGGUUUGUGUUAUAUCCUAGCUUUUUAUUUCCAUUUUAUAAUAAAUGUUGUGGUGGUAGCCUAGGACUUCUCUCUCUCUCUCUUCCCUCACUUUUUAUCUUUUUUUUUCUGUAAACGUAUGUGGUAUGUGUGUGUGUGUGUUAUGUAGAAUGACGCGAUCAUCGAGUAUAGUAAAGGGAAAGAGGAUCCGAAGGAUCCCAGUGUAUGUGUGUGUGUGUGUGUGUAAGUUUAGCCCAUCAUCAUCAUCAUCAUUACCAAUAGCCGACACAUAUACACACAAAUUAUAUACAGUAACAAAGAGCCUAGAAGGCGAAAGAAUGUGUUUGUGUGUGUGUGUGUGUGUGUAUCUAUUUUUCUACAGCCAAAAGAAAAAAAAAACCUGCGCUUGGUUCGAUCUUGCGCGCUAUUUUAUAUUUUUAUAUAUCUCUCAAAUAGCUUGGUGGUAUUCAUUCAUUUUAUUUUUAUUUUGGUUUUGGUUUGAUUUUAUGUUAAGUCUUGUUGAAUGUGUAUGUAUUUCGGUUUCGUUGUCGAUGUAUGUGAGCUCCAAUUUUUGAUCCGUAAAAUUCGAUCAAAUAAUUCGAAUGUCUCUCUCACUUCUUGUGACCUUCGUCAUUUGUCAUCAUCAUUCGAAUGAUUUUGUAUUUUGGCAACGAAUCCACUCAAUCAUUUCACAUUUCACAAUUCUGGAUCAUUCAACAUUUGAUUCGCCUUUUUAUCAUCAACAAAAUAAACGUGUGUGUUUGUGUUCGAUUUGUGUGUGUUUGUGCGCGUGAUUCAUCGAUCACAAUGAUCCAAUUUUCAUUAUGAAUUAUAAUCAAUAUAAACAUCACAAAUGAAUCAAAUCAAAUCAAAUCAAAAAAAAAAUUAGUCAAUCACCAAUCGUGGGUAUCGUUUUCUACUACAUUUGCAAUUUAGUGUCAUCGUUGAAUAAGAAGAAGGAAAAAAAACUUGUUCCUGAUCAUCAUCAUCAUCAUCAUCAUCAUCAUCAUUAUUAUUACCACCGCCAUCAACCAUCAACCAUCAGCGUGAAUCAUGUGUAUGGUUGAAUAGGACACACUCCCUCCUUUCCUCCCCAAAUAAAUAUACAAGAUGCAUCCCAUCAUUCCAUCAUCAUCAUCAUCAGAAAUCACUAUCCAUUCAUUAUUACAAUACAUAGAAACAGCCGUUGGCGUUGGUUAGUUGUUUUCUAUUUAAAAAUAAUA